rnacentral:rRNA from 1 species
UACGUACGGGAGGCAGCAGUGGGGAAUAUUGGACAAUGGACCAAAAGUCUGAUCCAGUAAUUCUGUGUGCACGAUGACGUUUUUCGGAAUGUAAAGUGCUUUCAGUUGGGAAGAAAAAAAUGACGGUACCAACUGAAGAAGUGACGGCUAAAUACGUGCCAGCAGCCGCGGUAAUCGUA